AGUGUCUCCAUCGUCGGCGUCCGCGUUGUCUAGGGCUCCGUCAAGCUCGGCGUCGUCUAGGGUUCCGCCAAGCUCGGCGUCGUCUAGGCCCUGGUCAAGCUCGGCAUCCACAAGGUAACGGCCCCAAUUCCCCUGCUAUGUUCCUUCCUCUCUGUGUGGUACCGCGAGAUCGAGGCUAUUUAGUUGCGUUAGUGUCUUUUCUAGUGUUGCUAGGGUUUGCUGAAUGUGUUCUUGUACAUGGCAGUUCUGAUUUGGUGAAUCUGAGUCUAGACUAGGGAGUUGCCUUCAGAGAUUGGAUUUCAAUGUAUGAUGCAGCAUGAUGAUGAUAGGGGGUUUGUGUGUUCGUAUGCUUUGCCUUGGGGUUUUGUGUGUUUCUGUUGAUGAUGAUAUGGGGUUUGUGUAGCAUGAUGGAGAAGUUCUUAUCUCUUGUUUUAUAUGUUCUCUUAGUUUGUGUAAUGUGUAGCAGCAUCAUGGACUAGUUCAGUUGACUUGUUAGGAUGUAUUUCCCCGAGAAGCAAGGACCUAUCAACAUGUUAACCAAGUAAAAUUACUUAAAUUUUUGUGUGCUGGUUCGAUCAGUAGUAGUGGUCUACUCUGUUUCGGUGUCGUCGGUGCAGCUUCUUCUGUUUUUUUGUUAAUUAAGAAAAACCAGUUGCUGGACUAGCCACUAGGGGAUAGAAGAUAGCAAUCAACAUGCACUUGUAUAGAUGUGGCAGAUGCUUCCGGACUCGGGGUCCUGGCAAGUUCGCAUCAUUCUCUUCUCUGAGUUUAAGGUUUCAGCACCAACCCAGAAAAGUGAUGCAAAAACAGUUUUGUCAUGUGAACAGGUUCACUUUGUUUUCUGAGAAUUGUGUGCGAUGUCUAGUAGUGGCAGUUUCUAUUUGUUCAUAUGUUUUGUCGUGUGAGCAUGCAUCUAUCAACAUUUGCAGUUAUAUUGUAUUAAGUAAUUUAUAAGCGAAGUUUGAUCUUGCUUAGGCAAGCAUGAUAAGUUGGUUGCAUAAGUCAUUGGAGCAUAUAUCAAAAAUCUGUAUAGAUUUAGCUACUUUGUUCCUAUUGAUGCUUGUUGUUUAAUCUGAAGCUUAUAUCUCAUUUUAUUUAGUCUGAUGCUUACUAUAGUAGCUAGUUUUCUUGUGCCCUUUUUGUUUGGCUGAGAGUGAUGCUAUAAGGAAAUGACUAGGGAAUAGAUAAUGCGAAUAAUGCAUUCCCAGGAAGAGAGUGCUUGCUGUUUCAAGAUUGAUGAACUUUUCACAUCAUUUUUAUAGAUGAUACCUGUUAAUUCACUGUUCUAUUUUUUUUCUUGAAGGAAAAUCACUCUUCUUUCUUAAUUACAAUAUACCAUAAAUAAUAUUUGUUCUCCUCGGUAGCUUAGAAAUAAAUGGUUCAAAAACAUUAGUCAUUAUUUAGUUCUUGAAAUCAGCAAACAAAAUUAAUAGUAGUUCUGAAAUUGUGUACGCUGACUCUCAUUUCUUUUCGGUGCUUAUCCUUGUGUAGAUAUGUUGUAUAAAAGUCGAGAAAGCAUUUUUUUGAUGGACUGGUGUUAGCUCUGGUGAUAUUUGUUGUAGAUUACAACAAGCAGGUAUACUUAGAUGCUUUUUUUCAUGUAGAUAUGUGUGCACUGGGGUUAUUUCUAGCACUUUAGAACUAGUAUCUGUACCUUGACCAUUUUUACAUGAUGGAUAACCUUUGUGUGCUACUCUUUUCGCAUAUGUAUUGUUCAGGUGCUUAUCACAUUCACAAUUUGUAAACGAUGUAUUCCACAAACAUUGUUUAGGGAACACUAUCUAGGAACAUUAUUUUAGGGAACAUUUUCCGAUGAACAUUACAUGGGAACAUUAUUUAUUUUGAAGAACAGUUUUUCACUUCACAGAAUAUUCUUAAAUUUUGCAUAGUUAUUUGGGGACAUUCAUCAGGGAACAUUACUCUGGGAACAUUAUUUAGCUAACAUUAUUAAGGGAACAUUUUGCUAAGAAAAAUUGUUGGCUCCAGCGAACAAUAAUUAAUUUUGUUGGAAAAUAAUGUUCUCGGAAAAAGUUGCAACCUGCAACUUGUUUAGGCUUUUACCAACAUUAUUCUUUGUUUUAUGGGAACAUUUUGCAAGGAUUUUUUUACUCCAGGGAACAUUAUUUUAUUUGUAGAACAUUUUAGAGUUUGGAGAUAGUUUUUUAAAUAUACCUAGAACAUCUUCCACGGAACAUUAUUUAGGGAACAGUUUUCAAGGGACAUUUAUGAGGGAACAUUAUGUGCGGAACAUUAUUUAGGUAACAUUAUCAAAGAACCUUUUGAAAGGAAAAGUUGUUGACUCUAGGGAACAUUAUUUAUUUUUGAAGAACAUUUUCUGACUUCGAAGAAUAUUUUCAAGAUGUAUGUAGUACAUUUUCCAGGGAACAUUAUUCAAGGAACAUUUUCGAGGGACAUUUAUGAGGGAAAAUUAUUUGGGGAACAUUGUUUAGGUGACAUUAUUAAGGGAACAUUAUUUAGGGACAUUAUUAACAUAACAGUAUUGACGGAACAUUAUUGAAGGAACAUUUUGUCAGGGAACAUUAUUUAAAAAACAUUUUCCCACGAACAUUAUUCAGGUAACAGUAUGAAGGGAACAUUUUUACGGAAAUACUAGUUCUUUUAACAUAGGAAAUUUUGAGUCAAGAUUUGUACCAGCUCCCAAGUUCAAUUUCAGGUGCCUUUCUGAAUGGAACUCUCCCCUGUACUUAUAACACUGAUAAGCAACUUCUGUGCUCUAUCUCCACAAAUAAUAGUUACAAAGAAUUUAAAAUUCACCAAAUGUUCCAUCACAAUUUUGUUUACAGGUAUGACUCAGGGAUUUUCCUUCUUCAGUAUCUGAGAAACUACAAAGGUCUCGGAAUGGAGGGUUUCCCUAAUGCAAGUACCACCACAAUUACCCCGUUGAAAGCACUUUUUUCCCUUCUUUGUGAUUCUUCGGUACAUAACAGAAAUUAAAUUGCAUUUUAUUUUAAAAAUUGAAGGACGAUCUAUAAGCUCAACGUGAGAAAUACCAUUUUGAGAUUGUCACUUGCAAGGACAAUGAAAUUCAGCUGCCAAUUGUAACUUCUUUCCCGCAGAAACAUGUAAAUUCUCUAGUUCUUUCCUCCUUACACCAUGUUCUUUGUAGUCAAUAGUGCAAUUAAUUUCAUGUAAUCACAUUUCUGUUUCAACAGGGUUUCCGCAUAUUCAAGUGAAGCUUUGAAGGCCAAUCAUUUUUCGUCCCGCAUAUGAACUCAGCUUAGGUAACUUAAUGAUCUGCAGAUUCUCUCACUAAAUAAUAGUGCAUACUGUAACACUUUUCGCUCAAAGAGUCCCAUUUGAGGAAUGUUUGGGUCUGUUUUCUUCUUGGAAGGAUCAUGUAUAACCAUAUUCCAUUUUUCUUCAAACUUUUACUAUCCAAAAAAAUUUGUACCUAUUCCCAACUAACUUAUUUCCCUUUUUAUUCUGAAGGGUCUCAUCACUAUUAUUUAUUGCUAACUUCAAGGGAAAUUGCAGUGCAAGAAUUUUUUUGAACUGAAAGGAAUUCUUCCAUGAGGGAAAUGUUUCCUUAAUGAUACAGUUCUCUGCUUUUGUCAUGGUGCCCAGUGAUGCUUUCUUGCAUUACUUUCAGUUGCAAAGAAGAUUCAAAACUGCAUAAUUAGUUUGUAAAGAAGCUCUAGGCAUAAUUACUGUUUUAAAAUGUUUCUUCGACCUCUCAGUACUGUUAUUGAACAAGCAUAAUUACUGUUUGUAAAUGUUUAUUUACUUCAGCUAUAUUCUUUUGUACAGUUGGAAUCAGUUCUCUGUUUUAGAACCAGCAGAAUUACUGUUCUUUUAUACACUCUUCCAAUUUACUGUGUUUUUAGUUCACACGAAGAAACAACAGAUACAGUAGGAAUUAGUUCUCUGUUUUAGAACCAGCAGAAUUAUUGUUCUUUGUACACGAUUCCAAUUUACUGUGCUUUAUUCUGAAGGCCUCAACGCAAGAUUUUUUUCAAGUGAAAGGAAUAGUCCAUGAGGAAAUUGUUGUCUUACUGAUACAGUUCUUCUAUUUUUUUUAUCAUGCAUUAGUUGCGAAGAAGGUUUAGUUCUGCAGAAUAAGUUUGUAAAGAAGCUCAAAGAUUUGUAUACUCUUUUCCAUUUCAGUUUUCAUGUAUGUUUUUUUGAUGCUCC
rnacentral:lncRNA from 1 species